GUGGGUGUAGCUCAGCUGGUUAGAGCACCUGGUUGUGGCCCAGGAGGCCGUGGGUUCAAAUCCCAUCACUCACCCA
rnacentral:tRNA from 1 species